AACGAACGCUGGCGGCAUGCCUAACACAUGCAAGUCGAACGAGACCUUCGGGUCUAGUGGCGCACGGGUGCGUAACGCGUGGGAAUCUGCCCUUGGGUUCGGAAUAACUUCGGGAAACUGAAGCUAAUACCGGAUGAUGACGUAAGUCCAAAGAUUUAUCGCCCAAGGAUGAGCCCGCGUAGGAUUAGCUAGUUGGUGAGGUAAAGGCUCACCAAGGCGACGAUCCUUAGCUGGUCUGAGAGGAUGAUCAGCCACACUGGGACUGAGACACGGCCCUAGACUCCUACGGGAGGCAGCAGUGGGGAAUAUUGGACAAUGGGCGAAAGCCUGAUCCAGCAAUGCCGCGUGAGUGAUGAAGGCCUUAGGGUUGUAAAGCUCUUUUACCCGGGAUGAUAAUGACAGUACCGGGAGAAUAAGCUCCGGCGUAACUCCGUGCCAGCAGCC
rnacentral:rRNA from 1 species